rnacentral:rRNA from 1 species
ACCCGCUGAACUUAAGCAUAUCAAUAAGCGGAGGAAAAGAAACCAACAGGGAUUGCCCUAGUAACGGCGAGUGAAGCGGCAACAGCUCAAAUUUGAAAUCUGGCGUCUUUGGCGUCCGAGUUGUAAUUUGCAGAGGGCGCUUUGGCAUUGGCAGCGGUCCAAGUUCCUUGGAACAGGACGUCACAGAGGGUGAGAAUCCCGUACGUGGUCGCUAGCCUUUACCGUGUAAAGCCCCUUCGACGAGUCGAGUUGUUUGGGAAUGCAGCUCUAAAUGGGAGGUAAAUUUCUUCUAAAGCUAAAUACUGGCCAGAGACCGAUAGCGCACAAGUAGAGUGAUCGAAAGAUGAAAAGCACUUUGGAAAGAGAGUUAAAAAGCACGUGAAAUUGUUGAAAGGGAAGCGCUUGCAGCCAGACUUGCCUGUAGUUGCUCAUCCGGGUUUCUACCCGGUGCACUCUUCUAUAGGCAGGCCAGCAUCAGUUUGGGCGGUUGGAUAAAGGUCUCUGUCAUGUACCUCUCUUCGGGGAGAACUUAUAGGGGAGACGACAUGCAACCAGCCUGGACUGAGGUCCGCACAUCUGCUAGGAUGCUGGCGUAAUGGCUGU